AUGCUGACAUGAGUAGCGAUAAAGGGGGUGAAAGGCCCCCUCGCCGUAAGCCCAAGGUUUCCUACGCAACGUUCAUCGGCGUAGGGUGAGUCGGCCCCUAAGGCGAGGCAGAAAUGCGUAGCUGAUGGGAAGCAGGUUAAUAUUCCUGCACCAUUGUUAAAUGCGAUGGGGGGACGGAUCGCGGAAGGUUGUCCGGGUGUUGGAAGUCCCGGUCGCUGCGUUGGAGAAGGCACUCAGGCAAAUCCGGGUGCGUAAUUCAAGGGCGUGGCGCCAUUCACUUCGGUGAAGAAGCAAUCGGAAGUGGUUCCAAGAAAAGCCUCUAAGCUUCAGUUUAACAGGACCGUACCGCAAACCGACACAGGUGGGCGAGAUGAGUAUUCUAAGGCGCUUGAGAGAACUCGGGAGAAGGAACUCGGCAAAUUGGUACCGUAACUUCGGGAUAAGGUACGCCCCUGUAGCCUGACUGGCCUGCGCCAGAAGGGUGAAGGGGUUGCAAUAAACUGGUGGCUGCGACUGUUUAAUAAAAACACAGCACUCUGCAAACACGAAAGUGGACGUAUAGGGUGUGACGCCUGCCCGGUGCCGGAAGAUUAAAUGAUGGGGUGCAAGCUCUUGAUUGAAGUCCCGGUAAACGGCGGCCGUAACUAUAACGGUCCUAAGGUAGCGAAAUUCCUUGUCGGGUAAGUUCCGACCUGCACGAAUGGCGUAACGAUGGCCACACUGUCUCCUCCCGAGACUCAGCGAAGUUGAAGUGUUUGUGAUGAUGCAAUCUCCCCGCGGCUAGACGGAAAGACCCCAUGAACCUUUACUGUAGCUUUGCAUUGGACUUUGAACCGGUCUGUGUAGGAUAGGUGGGAGGCUUUGAAGCGUGGACGCCAGUCUGCGUGGAGCCAACCUUGAAAUACCACCCUGGUUUGUUUGAGGUUCUAACCUUGGUCCGUAAUCCGGAUCGGGGACAGUGCAUGGUAGGCAGUUUGACUGGGGCGGUCUCCUCCCAAAGUGUAACGGAGGAGUACGAAGGUACGCUAGGUACGGUCGGAAAUCGUGCUGAUAGUGCAAUGGCAUAAGCGUGCUUAACUGCGAGACCGACAAGUCGAGCAGGUGCGAAAGCAGGUCAUAGUGAUCCGGUGGUUCUGUAUGGAAGGGCCAUCGCUCAACGGAUAAAAGGUACUCUGGGGAUAACAGGCUGAUACCGCCCAAGAGUUCAUAUCGACGGCGGUGUUUGGCACCUCGAUGUCGGCUCAUCUCAUCCUGGGGCUGUAGCCGGUCCCAAGGGUAUGGCUGUUCGCCAUUUAAAGAGGUACGUGAGCUGGGUUUAAAACGUCGUGAGACAGUUUGGUCCCUAUCUGCCGUGGGCGCUGGAUAUUUGAAGGGGGCUGCUCCUAGUACGAGAGGACCGGAGUGGACGAACCUCUGGUGUACCGGUUGUCACGCCAGUGGCAUCGCCGGGUAGCUAUGUUCGGAAGAGAUAACCGCUGAAAGCAUCUAAGCGGGAAACUCGCCUUAAGAUGAGAUAUCCCCGGGGCUUCGAGCCCCUUGAAGGGUCGUUCGAGACCAGGACGUUGAUAGGUCAGGUGUGGAAGCGCAGUAAUGCGUUAAGCUAACUGAUACUAAUUGCCCGUAAGGCUUGA
rnacentral:rRNA from 1 species